CCUACGGGUGGCAGCAGUGGGGAAUAUUGCACAAUGGGCGCAAGCCUGAUGCAGCCAUGCCGCGUGUGUGAAGAAGGCCUUCGGGUUGUAAAGCACUUUCAGCGGGGAGGAAGGCGGUGAGGUUAAUAACCUCAUCGAUUGACGUUACCCGCAGAAGAAGCACCGGCUAACUCCGUGCCAGCAGCCGCGGUAAUACGGAGGGUGCAAGCGUUAAUCGGAAUUACUGGGCGUAAAGCGCACGCAGGCGGUCUGUCAAGUCGGAUGUGAAGUCCCCGGGCUCAACCUGGGAACUGCAUUCGAAACUGGCAGGCUAGAGUCUUGUAGAGGGGGGUAGAAUUCCAGGUGUAGCGGUGAAAUGCGUAGAGAUCUGGAGGAAUACCGGUGGCGAAGGCGGCCCCCUGGACAAAGACUGACGCUCAGGCGCGAAAGCGUGGGGAGCAAACAGGAUUAGAUACCCGAGUAGUC
rnacentral:rRNA from 1 species